rnacentral:rRNA from 1 species
CCGGCCAUUGUUGAGGCACAGCGACAGGCAGUGGGAGGAGGAGAGACGCCAGACUACCUCCUCACAAUCCACGAGUGAGUAAGUGAAUGAGAAAUUGAGUGGGUGAGGACAAGGGUGUAGUAGGUGAAUGAGGAUGUGAGCGAGGACAAGCAAGGGAGUCGAGAUUCACGUCGACAUCUCAUUGCGAAACGUCGUCAGGCACCCCCCCCUGUCCCCCCUUCACUUGCGACUGUACCACCCGCUGCCGUGCCGUCUCUGCCUUUGUGUUGCCUUGUUUUUUGUUUUUGUUUUUGUUUUGUUUGUUUUGUUUGUUAAUCAGUGUUGAUUGUAUGCUUGUUCAAAAGUCUCAUCUUGUUUUUGUGUUGUUGUUGGGGAAGGGAACAGACUGAGGGAGAGAGGUGUGGGAUGGGGAUGUGGAUGAGAGUGUGGGGGCAGACUGACGUAGUCUUCCACUCCACACAGAUGGGGGGGUGGGGUGUGUGUCGAAUGAUGUGUCAACAAGUCAGGACUUUUCGUGUCCCUUAUCGUCUCCACACCAUCACUCCAUCACUCCUCCUCCCCCCAUACUUCUCCAUCACACACUCCAUCCCCCCAAAUCAACUGGUUCCCAAGCACUCUUUCGUCUUCGUCACACAGUCACAUCCUUCUCUUCCUUCCACCGGCACCAGCCUUCGGCUGGUCCCGGAUCGGUCGUGCACUUCGUGCACUCCCUCCCCCCAUCUCUCUUAAUGAUCCAUCCGCAGGUUCCCCUACGGAUACCUUGUUACGACUUCUUCUUCCUCUAAAACAAGGGAUUCGAGGUAGUUCCCAUCCAACCGCUUUCACAGUCAGUCAGUCCCAGCCCCUCAUCAUUUGUUUCAUCAGUAGAAGCGACGGGCGGUGUGUACAAAGGGCAGGGACAUAUUCAUCGCAACCUGAUGAGUUGCAAUUACAAGGCAUUCCUCGUUCAUGACCAACAAUUUCAAUGGUCAAUCCCAAUCACGGAGGGGAUUCCCAAAGAUUUCCCGUCCACUUCUGAACAGGCACCAGGAGGACCGAGCCGACGUCACCGCCGCCCCCGCCCCCCCCUCACUCUUUCUCCCCCCCAUUGUAGCACGCGUGCCGCCCAGAACAUCGAAGGGCAUAACAGACCUGUUAUUGCCGACAGCUUCCCUCGAGUUUUCCUCAAGAGUCCUUCUAAGAAGAGGCCUUCGCCACAAAGGCGAAGCAAGAAAGACCAGUGUCCAGCCAAGUUUGGUCUGGUCAGCUUCCAGGUUUCACCCCUUCCACCGAACCAAACCACCCUCGACCAACAAAAGGAGCGGGCUGAACAAGAGGACGAACCCCUUUCCCAACCCCCCCCCUCACACCCCUUCCCCCCCCUACUUAGCAAGCGUCGAUCUCGCUCGUUAACGGAAUAAACCAGACAAAUCACUCCACCAACUAAGAACGGCCAUGCACCACCAAUCAUUGAAUCUCGUAAGCUCUUCAAGCUGACGAUCCUCCCAAUGUCUUGCCCUGGUAAGUUUCCCCGUGUUGAGUCAAAUUAAGCCGCAAGCUCCACGCCUGGUGGUGCCCUUCCGUCAAUUCCUUUAAGUUUCAUUCUUGCGAACAUACUCCCCCCUGAACCCAAACGUUUUAAUUUCUCUAAAGUAAAGAGCAAGGCACCAGCAGAAGAGGCAAGCAACGGCCAUGUGUUUGCACACCCGACCGCACCCCCCUCUCCUCCCAUUUCAUUCCUCCCUCUCCCCUUAACCGGCAUCGUUUACUGUUAGAAAUACGACGGUAUCUGAUCAUCUUCUCUCCUCUAACUUUCGUUCUUGAUCAAUGGAUCCGUGCUUGGGAAGUGCCUUCGCUCUCGUUCGUCUAACCAGGAUCACUGAAUUUCACCUCUCCCCUAGUUAUACCCAUCCCCCCGACCGGUCCUCUUGCUCAUUAGUCACUCAGAACAAGCGCAACACUCGUCUUCACAACCCCUCUUCUCACAUUCCUCACGUCAAAGUUCAAUGCUCCUUCAAACAAAAAGAGCUGUUUUGAUCACUCCCAUUUUCGCAAGGUCCACGUGCAGGCCGGAAGUUCGCAAAACACGGGCGGGAAUCUCAGAACAACACUUCUGCACAGCAGCAGCUCGCCCCCAGCACACAGCCAGCGACAACCCGCUCCCCUCCCCCCCUUCCUUCCCCCCACACACUCUGUCACC